rnacentral:lncRNA from 1 species
AACAUACUUUUCAUAUGGGCGUGACACAGUUGUUCUUACCGGAAUAGUGAGCGGUUUAGAGCUUUCAACGCAACAGUUUUAUUGUCAUAGUGGAUAUAUUGCUGUCGUUUUUUUAGAGCCGUCACGGGUUUGGAACAAUAGUUCAUUAACAGAAGACGCCAUAGUCAAGAAAAAGACCUGUCACUCCACACCAGGCUUUAUUCUUCUGAAUUCUUAUUCUCCUAAACAAUGGCCUGCAACUGCGGUUGGUUCUGGGGUCUGCUGUGGUUUCUCAUCCUGAUCUGCUUCGGCUGGCCAAUUGGAUUCGUGUGUGCCGUCUUCUAUGUUUUGCUGUCUCCCUUCCAGGCGUGUUGCGGAGGAUGUGCAGACUUUAUGAACUUACUGCAUAAGGGCGUACAACUGCCACUGACAUGCGCGACCAACAUGUGUGCCCAGAAAUCUAUUUGCUAAGCUGAGUAGGGAAUAGGUGCCUGUUGCACGAAAUGGCCUAUCUUGAAAACUCAUGGAUGAUAGUAUUUCCGUUGCAUUGAUAAUAGUUUGUUAGAUCAUAAAUGGGAAAGUUCACUAGGGAAUCCAUGCUCGUUUCCACACUACAGGCCCUUAAGCCAUCAUUGAUCUAUAGUUAUGUUCCAUGGUGGAACACAGCAGCAUAGAUUAUUGGUGUCAUGUUGUUUUAUACAAUUUUCAGUAAUAAUUUUCCAUGUCGUUCUGAAUGAGAUUAUUUCUGCUAAUACAUUUUAGAAACAGCACUCAUCCAAUCCAAAACAGAAUGAUCAUUCUUGCCAAAAUGUUCAUCAUGACUGAGCGGACACGAUGUGACCAAAUGUGCAUUUCUUUAUAUUGAUGAAUUGUUUUAACUGUGAAAAGUUCUUUUUCACGCAUAGAAUCUCCCUUAAUGUGUUGUAUCAAGCAUUGCCAAGCACAAGUCCACAAUGUCUUAUUGAAACCUCUUUGGCCAGAUGUGUUUUAGAAUUCAGAAUUUUUUUGGAUAUCAGAACAGUAGUAUGAUACAUGUACUGUAUAUUAUGAUAAUACCUUAUUGGGAUUUUCUGACAGCACCCCAUAAGAAACGAUUAACAUUAAAUUCAAAAUCAUAGAAAAGCAAAAAUAUGACACAAUUGAUGCACUUACUUGGAUAAAUAUUCGGACCUGUCAGGUCAUGUUUGGCGAGACUGGUAAUUUAAUGCAUAUAUGAGUGAUGCUCCAUGAAAGAAAACUCAACAGUUUCAGAGCUUUUUAAAUUUUGCUGUUGUGGGUAAGGGAUUGUGGACCUGUAUUUGCAGCACCUAUUUCACAGUAGUUUCUAGUUUUUGGGGGGUGGGCACAGCAUUUAAUACAGUAGAUUCAGUGUUGUGACUGAUAAUCCUAAUAUUUAAAUGUUGUGUUGUGAGGUGUUGGGUUGAUCGUUGUGUAGUAGCAGUACUAGUAGAUGUUUUCUUUAUUUACGAUGUAGAACAUUUUGCAUGCAGUGAAAAUUGCAUUUAUUUCAAUCUAGUCUGUUGAAUCUCCAUUUGAAUGUCUUCCAAUCAAAAAUAUAUCUAAGGAUUAGAAUUACACAUGAGUACCAGCAGCUGCCCAACGCAACUCAUCUCUCAAACUUGCAUGUUGCACUUUCUUUCUAGGCACACAGGUCGCACAGCAUGUAUUACUCACCGAUUUUCAUUGCAGGUGUUGCAUGACUGUUCUAACAUUUUCUGUUUCUUCAACAGUGCAUGAUAUAAGGUGAUGGUAUGCCAUGAUGUAUGGCACCAUCGAGCCCUUCAAAUUAUUUUUGCUUGCUUCGCGAUUUGUUUGCAAUGCCUCAGUAUAUGUUUGCACUCCAGAUGAGCACAGAAUAAAGAAUGUAAUGUCAUCUGUCUUAGGAUAAUAACAAUCUCUGUGGUCUAUAAUCUAAGCUAGAAAUUGUAUGCAAUAGCCACAGUAUAACCAUGGUGAACGGUUUAACACGACUUCUUGAUUCUGUGACGACCUAGAGGGCGAAUCUGUCCUAUAGUUUGCUACGCAAAUACACAGCCGUAGCAUGCGUUGAUAGUAGGAUCAGAUUUGUGCAUGAUUAUCAAAGACACUGAAUUCGUAAGGUGCCUUGCAUGCUUCCAUAGUUUGGUUUAUCACCACCAGGUAGUGCUGAACUAACAUGGGUGCCGGCCGUGGCGGAAAUCUUCUGUGGGCAAUUCUUUGGUUCCUAGUGCUGAUCAUCAUCGGCUGGCCAAUCGGAUUCUUCGUGUCAUUCUUUUACGUUUUGAUUGCUCCCUGCGGCGUCUGCUGCAACUGCACCGACCUGAACAGUUUGCUGGAAAAGGGUGUCAAACUGCCCGUGACAUGUGCUCAGAAGAUGAUGAACAUGGAGGGGUGUUAGGGAAGAACGGUGCUAGGCUGUGAUGAAAGCAGACAUGCUGCAUGUUCACCUUCACGAGAUUGUACUAAAUUGAAAGGAGUAUUUGUUGGGGACGUUGCAUCUAUGUCUGCAUGGUUAUUCCCCCAAUGUUACUGUGAAAGCCCCCUAAAACAUUAACCAUCGGGUUACAUGCAUUUUUGCUGAUUGAACACUGCCACGCACAGAUUUAAAUGACAUUAAAAUGAGUUCCACUGAUCCUACAUUGGUGUUAUGUCCUGCACGUAACUGUGUUAAUGUAUUAUACGUGGGUCAACUUUUAAUGAACAUAGUGGGAGGCUUAUUUUGUCAUGACAGAUGGUUGGAAGUUUAUGUCUAUUUUUGGUAAAAUAAAGCAUUACUGUGCUAUUGUGCGAGUGUUUUGUUAAUUAAUGUAGUGUCUUUUGAUGCCAAUGCGUGAAAAUAAAUUCUGACUGAGAAUUAUAGGAACCUUUGCCUGUUCUUGAAAAAUGGCUGUUAUUUUUACUAUACAUGUAAUGUUUUGGUGUCUGUUAAGUUAAGUUGAUUUUUGAAAGCAUGUUAAAUAAUUCUAUCAUUGUAUAAACAUGCGUCUAAUUAUGCCAUAUUCAGCCAUUAUAAUUUUUAUAUGACUAUGAGUAUGCAAGAAACAAGAUUUCUGUGCUAAAUAAGUGUUGAGUGGGCAAAAGCUGCAGCCAGCCUUACUUUUGGAUAAGUCUUUAGAUAAGUGUCUUUGCCUAUGCAUAGAGAUUUGUGUUGGAGGGACCGUGAUUAGGAAUUAUAUUUUAGUAUAUCUCUGCAGUAAAGUAUUGAACAGUAUAUCAAGGAAAUCGUGUGUUAAGGUGCUUACGUUUUUAAAUGUAUCAGUCAAUGUGCAGUGAAUAAAAUGCUAUUCCAUGAUA